AAAUAUUUCUGAAUUCUCUUGUGAUAGGUCAAAAAAUUGAGGAAGACAUAAUUAGCAGCUGAAGAAUGACUCAGAUCAUCAGUAGUGAAUAAGAAUGAUUAGGGGGAAAUAGAGACAGUUUAAUCAGUCCGUGACCAAAAUCAAACAGAGUAAACUGUGUCAUCAUGGAGAUCUGCCCAGGAAAUCCCCAAAAUACAGAAGGAUCAGAAGUAGAUGGAAAUAAUGUCAUAGAACGUCUCUCACAACUGUGUUAUAAGAAUGACAGGGAAGCUACAGGUUACAACAGAUUUGUGAACUCAGCCAAGCACAGUGGUGGCAGGGCCUAGCUGCUACAAAGAAGACAUGUUUUAGACAAAUACUCAUGUGUAUGGGCAAAAAACUCGAGGACUGUAUUUGUGACUAAUUGUGUAACAGGGUAUUUUAGUUCCUGUUCUGUGGAAAGUGUAAAGCAUUCCAACAAAGGGUUUUAAUGUAGAUUUUUUUUUGCACCCAUGCUUUGAUUGCUAAAUGUAAUAGUCAGAUCGUGACGCUGAAUAAAUGUCUUUUUCU
rnacentral:lncRNA from 1 species